rnacentral:lncRNA from 1 species
CCACCGUUGGAAUCAUUUACUCCAAGAUGUGAAAAUCUGCAUUUUUGCGUUUGCAUCCAAAACUCACCUGUGAUACUGCCGCUUCAGAAUUUCCAGACCUUGAGUGGUCCCUCAUCUCAUUGUUGAAAACACUGAGAGGCACAGCAAAGGGAAAGGACUGGUUCAUGACACCAAAUUGGUAUGAAUGAAAGCUGAUCUCUAGCAUCCUCUUUCAUUUUUGGGGGACAAGAUGGCUGCUGUGAUCUGUGAACAUGCUCUUGGUAAGUCUCUUUAUACAUAACCAAUAUAAAAUAAAAUUAAAUAUUUUACUGGCAUUGGCAUUAAU